CGGUGAAUACGUUCCCGGACCUUGCACACACCGCCCGUCAAGCCAUGGAAGCUGGGUGUACCUAAAGUCGGUAACCGUAAGGAGCCGCCUAGGGUAAAACUAGUGACUGGGGCU
rnacentral:rRNA from 1 species